GCUAUAGGCUAAGAAGUUGAUCCAUAUUUGUCUCCAGUGUAAUCUCAUGAACGCACUUUUUCCAGAAGUAGGGCUGUUUUUUUAUGUCAGGUCUUUCCAAGCU